rnacentral:tRNA from 1 species
UAGAACAGGGUGCGACGGGUGGCACGGAGAGUUUUGGAUUCUCAGGGAUGGUUCGACUCCUAUGGUUCUAG